ensembl:miRNA MIR492 microRNA 492
ACUGCAGCUACUACCUCAAGACCAUCAAGGACCUGCGGGACAAGAUUCUUGGUGCUACCAUUGAGAACUCUUAAGAUUGUCGUGCAGA